rnacentral:rRNA from 1 species
AUACGGAGGGUGCAAGCGUUGUUCGGAAUUAUUUGGGCGUAAAGCGCGUGUAGGCGGUUUCUUAAGUUUGAUGUGAAAGCCCCGGGCUCAACCUGGGAAGUGCAUUGGAAACUGGGAGACUUGAGUACGGGAGAGGGUAGUGGAAUUCCUAGUGUAGGAGUGAAAUCCGUAGAUAUUAGGAGGAACACCGGUGGCGAAGGCGGCUACCUGGACCGAUACUGACGCUGAGACGCGAAAGCGUGGGGAGC